AAAAAGACAAACCCUGAGUUUUCGUGUCCAACGUUUGACUAUCCAUCUUAUAUAAUUUUUUUUGUUAUAAUUAGUAUUUUCAUUGUUGUUAAAUGAUAAAAUAUGAUUAAUACUUUAUGCGUGACUUAUCUUUUUAAUUUUUUUAAUAUAUAUUUUAAAUAAGAUGAAUAGUUAAACGUUGGACACGAAAAUCUAGAG
rnacentral:pre_miRNA from 1 species